UAAAUGUAAAAGUAUUUGUCACAACCAUUUCGCAUUUAAUUUUACUGUUUCUCCAUACGAUGACAGAGAAGUUGACGCUUACAUUUUUCCAUCGAUCAUUCUAACAGAAACAGGUGUUGCGUGCGCAAAUACUUUAAUUUGGGUUUUAUAGUGAAGCUGCGCAAAAGGAGCUUACAUAGUUUGCAUUUGCAUUAGUGUGCCUGCCGCAUAGCCCGCUGCUUACGGAGGCUGUUUAAAAGGGACUUCCACAGAUUUUUUUUAUAUAAAAGACGAAAUUUGCGAAAAGUCUACUCUGCAGUUUACACUAUGAGUGAGGAGUUGAUACCAUCAACUGAGCUGUCGUUAUUUGCCGAGCAAUGUCCGUUGGGAGAUGAGUCCCCUACAACGGAAAAUGUCGACAAUGAGUCCGUAGUAAUUUUGGAUAGUGAUGAACAGUUAAUUAAUUUAUUGUGUUAGUGGGAUUUGUCGUCAAAUGCAUUGAUACAGUUCAAAGAAGUACGAAAACUGUGGUUGCCUCCAAGAAAGUGACCAAUCUGCAAUAGUUCGCAUUAUUGUGGAUAAACUGAACAUGACGUAUUACGACGCCAUGCUUGGAGCACUUGAUGCAAAUUGCAGGCAUUAUUAUCUUAUAAACUUACUACAUGCAGUAAUAACACCGCCGAGAGUAAAUAAAAACAUAAAGCCCUCCAUUACAGAUGCACAAAUGGAUAUGAUGGUGCAUCUAUAAAUAUUAAUAACUUCCAGCAAAAACUUGACGAGCUAAAUGAAAGCGCUCACAACGAGGGAUUAACACUGCAACCUAGAGUUUUUGUUGUUGGUGAGAGUCCUCAAAACUUGAAGGAAUUCUAUGUCUGUGUUGACAACAUUAAAUAUAAAGUAGGUAGCUUAAUUAGGGCUAUAGAUUUAGUUGUAAAAAUGUCUUUUGUAUUCAACAUUGAAUAUUCCGUAAAGAGCAAAUAUGUGUGGAUUUUCCUUCAACGAUAUAUUUAUGAUAUUUCCUCUAAAGAAAAAUUUCCCAAAAUUGAAAAUAUUUUAAACAAGCUAAAUAAUGUUCAAUCAAAAUGCACUUGAAGAAAGACCCACACAUACAUGCUCUAUAUGCGGAAAUGAAUUUAUAUUAUUUGAAAAUCUUUUUAACCAUCUUAAGAUUUUACAUCGAACUCCAAUUACUUUUAAGUAUUUAUGUCUUUAUCAGAAAUGCAAUAGAUAUUUUCAAAACUUGUAUAAGUUUCGAAAUCACGCAAGCAAGCAUGAUUUUAAUUGUAAUCUUAAUGAAAGCAGUAGUAGUAGUAGUUGUCACUUUUGUAAACUUUACUCUGUAUAUUCUCAAAUAAAAUAUAUUUUUUAUGAAAAAAGUAAAUUGAUAUUGAAAUUUUGACUGUGCAUAGGGAAGU